rnacentral:SRP_RNA from 1 species
UUGUGCUAGGCGGGGAGUUAGCGGUGCCCUUUUCCCGAAAUCCGCUCUAUGCGGGGCUGAAUUCCCUUUAGAGGGUUGGGACUGAAAUCUCGUGAGUCAUUUUGAUCGGCCGCCGCGCAACAGGCGGUUACGAACCUCGUCAGGUCCGGAAGGAAGCAGCGAUAAGUAAUGCAGCCUGUGUCGUGGAUCGAUCCCGGUCACAUGUUUGGCUUACUGCAUUUCAGAAAGAUUCGAUAAGGGGUGCACAA